ensembl:lncRNA
GGAAGUCAAAUAAAGUGAACCCUAUCACCACGCAGUGCCAGCUGCAGGAGCAGGAACGGCACUCGGAGGCAGAAAAGCAUUCUUGCACUUACUGUGCCCCAGAAGUGAUGCCAGCUGCUCGCCAGCUUUCCGACCAGCACCCUUCCAUCUCCACCCCCACGGCACGGCCUGGUGACGGAGCCACAGAGCCACACCGCUGCCACCUCCUCUGCACCCCUGUCCCCUGAUUCCUGCAGGAGGUUGGCGCCUGGCAGCAGCAGAGAAGCAGCAAAGAGGGAAGCCAGAGGGGGCAGUGUAUAUUAAAAAACAGCCGCAGCGCCUCUGAAGCAUUCCGGAACAAGAUUGUGCAAUCAGUGGCUUGUGCACCCAUGUGAUCUUGUCGCUGCGAGCCAAGGUUUUCAGAGGGAACUGAAAGGAAUGAAACACCCACUAGAUUCUGCUGCGGAUCAUCUGAAAAGCUCAGCUGUUUCCCUCAGCCUCUUCGCUUCAUAUUUUACAUUUGCUCAUCGUGCUGUUUCUCCCCGGUGCUCGUGGGAGGCCAGGCUCAUUGCCAGAUCUGUUUGUACACAGUCCCAGGGUGUACCUUACAGCUUUCUCCAGCUUAUGAUGGGAUCUCUGGUUGCAGUGCUGUGUGUCAGCCAGGGUUAUCCUGAGGGGCUGUUUGCCACCCACGUGCACUUCCUGUGGAAGCAGCAGUCAGUCGAGGUGAAGGAGCAGAAGGUUGCAGUGCUGGGGCAGCAGCUCCAAAGCAAAGCGACGGACUCCUGGAGAGAAAUCAGCUCUUCCAGAACCUGAUUCUUCUUGUCCUUCUGCAGAUGUCUCAAAAUCAGCAAUGAGAUGUCUCCAGGACUUCUUUCCUUCACCUUUCAAGUCCUUGGAUUGGAAUAAUAUGAGACAGCAAAGAGGAGAAAAGGCAG